GAUGAACGCUGGCGGCGUGCCUAAUACAUGCGAGUCGAGCGAACAGACGAGGAGCUUGCUCCUCUGACGUUAGCGGCAGACGGGUGAGUAACACGUGGAUAACCUACCUAUAAGACUGGGAUAACUUCGGGAAACCGGAGCUAAUACCGGAUAAUAUAUUGAACCGCAUGGUUCAAUAGUGAAAGACGGUUUUGCUGUCACUUAUAGAUGGAUCCGCGCCGCAUUAGCUAGUUGGUAAGGUAACGGCUUACCAAGGCAACGAUGCGUAGCCGACCUGAGAGGGUGAUCGGCCACACUGGAACUGAGACACGGUCCAGACUCCUACGGGAGGCAGCAGUAGGGAAUCUUCCGCAAUGGGCGAAAGCUUGACGGAGCAACGCCGCGUGAGUGAUGAAGGUCUUCGGAUCGUAAAACUCUGUUAUUAGGGAAGAACAAAUGUGUAAGUAACUAUGCACGUCUUGACGGUACCUAAUCAGAAAGCCACGGCUAACUACGUG
rnacentral:rRNA from 1 species